rnacentral:rRNA from 1 species
AUUGAACGCUGGCGGCAGGCCUAACACAUGCAAGUCGAGCGGAUGAAGGGAGCUUGCUCCUGGAUUCAGCGGCGGACGGGUGAGUAAUGCCUAGGAAUCUGCCUGGUAGUGGGGGAUAACGUCCGGAAACGGGCGCUAAUACCGCAUACGUCCUGAGGGAGAAAGUGGGGGAUCUUCGGACCUCCCGCUAUCAGAUGAGCCUAGGUGGGAUUAGCUAGUUGGUGGGGUAAAGGCCUACCAAGGCGACGAUCCGUAACUGGUCUGAGAGGAUGAUCAGUCAACCGGGACUGGAAACACGGCCAGGCCCCCUAGGGGGGGGAGCGGUGGGGAAUAUUGGACAAUGGGGGAAAGCUUGAACCAGCCGUGCCGGGGGGGUGAAGAAGGUCUUCGGAUUGUAAAGCCCUUUAAGUGGGGAGGAAGGGCAGUAAGUUAAUACCUUGCUUUUUUGACGUUACCAACAAAAAAACCCCCGGCUGCUUUCUU